GGGAAUUUGGCUCAGUGGUAGAGCGCCUGCCUUGCAUGCAUGAGGCCCUGGGUUGGAUUCCUCA
rnacentral:tRNA from 1 species